UGCCGCUCGCCGCCACACGAAAAAGAGCUCGCGAGACCCCCCACCCCUUUGCGUGAACGUCCUCGUCGCGAACGGCUCUGAGGGGAGCGCUGGAACGGCGAAGGAGCCAGAUGGUCCACUCCCUCCUCCUAGCGAAGAAAAGUAUCGCGAGUCCAGUUAGCGAGCAAGGGGCAGGUCGGGCAAGAGCAGCAGCAGCAGCGGCGGCGGCGGCGGCGGCUGAGCGGCAGCAUGGAGGCGGUGGGGUUCCCACGGACCUCCAGAGUCAGUGUUCCCUGGACCGUGUGCGAGCGAAGACCAGCUGAUCGUUGGCUCACCGCGCCCUCGAAAGUUGUGUCCCGCGUGUGUGUGUGUUGUGCGAGCGAGCGGGCCGCCGGAGAGGCACUCCCGCCGCGCCCCGCCUCCUUCGCUGCUGCUGCCAGUCGGGGGGUUUUAUACAGCAGUCCUUACAGCUGCGAAAUAUGGAUGAGUGAUUCGCUGCGUUAUGGCCAAAGUGUGAUGAAUGUGUGAUGAGAUCUUGGGUGAUACAUUGGGCGAAUUUACCUUCGAUCUAAUUAUCUUUCUGUUGCAUAAUAUUUUGUUAUUUUUUCUCGGAUCAAGGCUUGAAUAAAUGAGAUAAAGAGAGGAAUAAAUAUAAAUCACCCAUGGCUUAAAACGUGGAAAGAUAAAAAAAGAAAAAAAAUGCCAGAUCUCGCGAGAGUGUCGUUGGAACACCGCUCUAAUUCUGCACUACUUGUACAAGGGUGCGGUGUGUAGAUAGUCAAGUCCUUAUCCCAUUGUUACGCAGUCCCCCAAGUGCGUUAGAACGUGUGUCGUCGCCAUGAAGAAGCUGGACCAAGCGAGUGCCAUGGAGGACGUAGCCCACCGCCGUUGCAACAAGUGCCGGGAGGCGUGUCCGGGCUUCGAGGCACAUUUCUGGAGGUGAGUCACGGGUCAUCAGUCAUACAGGAUAAAGUAACAAGCAAAUCCGGUGAGUAAAGAAAAUUUAAAAAUAGGCCUACAUAGUUAAAAGUAAAUAGAUAUAUACUCAUAUACACAUACUAUAGUUAUAGGCCUAUGUUGAGGGCCACGAUUGGGACUUUAAUAUAUUCCUCCACAGUGCCAGAAACUACAGAGGAACUAUAAGGAGAGAAAGAUAAAAAGGAACAGACGUGAGAAGAGGGGAAAUGUACUAGGUGCCAGAGAGUGCCAGUGAGCGUACGAUAUGCAUAAUAAGGGUAGUGGUCGUGGGAGGGGGGGGAGGGUAGUGCCUGC